rnacentral:tRNA from 1 species
UCCGGGAUAGUCUAGUGGUUAUGACGUCUGCCUUACACGCAGAAGGUCGCGAGUUCAAUCCUCGCUCCUGGUA